rnacentral:rRNA from 1 species
CCUACGGGAGGCAGCAGUGAGGAAUAUUGGUCAAUGGACGAGAGUCUGAACCAGCCAAGUAGCGUGAAGGAUGACUGCCCUAUGGGUUGUAAACUUCUUUUAUAUGGGAAUAAAAUGUUCCACGUGUGGGAUUUUGUAUGUACCAUAUGAAUAAGGAUCGGCUAACUCCGUGCCAGCAGCCGCGGUAAUACGGAGGAUCCGAGCGUUAUCCGGAUUUAUUGGGUUUAAAGGGAGCGUAGGUGGAUGGUUAAGUCAGUUGUGAAAGUUUGCGGCUCAACCGUAAAAUUGGAGUUGAAACUGGCAGUCUUGAGUACAGUAGAGGUGGGCGGAAUUCGUGGUGUAGCGGUGAAAUGCUUAGAUAUCACGAAGAACUCCGAUUGCGAAGGCAGUUCACUGGACUGCAACUGACACUGAGGCUCGAAAGUGUGGGUAUCAAACAGGAUUAGAUACCCCUGUAGUC